GUGCUUGCUUCAGCAGCACAUACGCUAAAAUUGGAAUGAUACAGAGAAGGUUAGCAUGGCCCUGCACAAGGAUGGCAAAUUCAUGAAGCAUUCCACAUUAAA